rnacentral:rRNA from 1 species
CAAUAGCGUAUAUUAAAGUUGUUGCAGUUAAAAAGCUCGUAGUUGAAUUUCUGGCGGGCGCGCCGGUCUUCCAAGUGUUGUACUGGGCGCAGUCCGCCAUCCUUGUGGAGAGGGCUCGCAUUGAGUUGCGUGUCGGAUCUGCAUCAUUUACUGUGAAAAAAUUAGAGUGUUUAAAGCAGGCUGUCGCUUGAAUACAUUAGCAUGGAAUAAUAAGAUAGGACUUCGGUCUAUUUUGUUGGUUGCGAACCGAGGUAAUGAUUAAUAGGGAUAGUUGGGGGUAUUCAUAUUUAAUUGUCAGAGGUGAAAUUCUUGGAUUUGUUAAAGACGAACUACUGCGAAAGCAUUUGCCAAGGAUGUUUUCAUUGA